GAUGAAGAACGCAGCGAAAUGCGAUAAGUAAUGUGAAUUGCAGAAUUCAGUGAAUCAUCGAAUCUUUGAACGCACAUUGCGCCCGCCAGUAUUCUGGCGGGCAUGCCUGUUCGAGCGUCAUUUCAACCAUCAAGCCCCCGGGCUUGUGUUGGGGACCUGCGGCUGCCGCAGGCCCUGAAAAGCAGUGGCGGGCUCGCUGUCACACCGAGCGUAGUAGCAUACAUCUCGCUCUGGGCGUGCUGCGGGUUCCGGCCGUUAAACCACCUUUUAACCCAAGGUUGACCUCGGAUCAGGUAGGAAGACCCGCUGAACUUAGGCAUAUCAAUAAGCGGAGGA
rnacentral:misc_RNA from 1 species